GAUUAAGGCUGAGCAAUUUUAUCGAUUCUGAGAUAUAAAUCAAUAUUUUUUUCCCAAGAAAGUAUCGAUUUUUAAGCCGCGAGUAUCGAUACAUAAGUCCCAUUCAAAUCCCCCGUGUUUACCCCCGUUCACGUUGCAGGAAGAGCGAUUUGGUCAGCCAACCGCUAGUGUCGCUGUAGAGCAACCGACGUCCACUG